rnacentral:rRNA from 1 species
AGUGAACGCUGGCGGCAGGCCUAAUACAUGCAAGUCGAACGGCAGCACGGCAGAGCUUGCUCUGUGGGUGGCGAGUGGCGGACGGGUGAGGAAUACAUGGGAAUCUGCCCAGUCGUGGGGGAUAACGUAGGGAAACUUACGCUAAUACCGCAUGCGCCCUUCGGGGGAAAGCCGGGGACCUUCGGGCCUGGCGCGAUUGGAUGAGCCCAUGUCGGAUUAGCUAGUUGGCGGGGUAAUGGCCCACCAAGGCGACGAUCCGUAGCUGGUCUGAGAGGAUGAUCAGCCACACUGGAACUGAGACACGGUCCAGACUCCUACGGGAGGCAGCAGUAGGGAAUAUUGGACAAUGGGCGCAAGCCUGAUCCAGCCAUGCCGCGUGAGUGAAGAAGGCCCUCGGGUUGUAAAGCUCUUUUGUCCGGAAGAAAGCGCCGGGUUAAUACCCUGGUGUCCUGACGGUACUGGAAGAAUAAGCACCGGCUAACUUCGUGCCAGCA